GAGGUGUCGGCUUAAGUGCCAUAACGAGCGCAACCCCUCUCCUUAGUUGCCAUCAGGUGAAGCUGGGCACUCUGGGGACACUGCCACCGUAAGGUGUGAGGAAGGUGGGGAUGACGUCAAAUCAGCACGGCCCUUACGUCCGGGGCUACACACGUGUUACAAUGGCAGGUACAGAGAGACGGUCCCUUGCAAAACGGAUCAAAUCCUUAAAGCCUGUCUCAGUUCGGACUGGGGUCUGCAACCCGACCCCACGAAGCUGGAUUCGCUAGUAAUCGCGCAUCAGCCAUGGCGCGGUGAAUACGUUCCCGGGCCUUGUACACACCGCCCGUCAAGCCAUGAAAGCCGGGGGCGCCUAAAGUCCGUGACCGUAAGGAGCGGCCUAGGGCGAAACUGGUAAUUGGGGCUAAGUCGUAACAAGGUAGCCGUACCGGAAGGUGCGGCUGGAACACCUCCUUU
rnacentral:rRNA from 1 species